AUAAUAAAGAAAUAUCCAAUCACAUGAUAACAUCUCAUCUGUGUACACAAAUUGUAUACAAAAAAUAGGUAUACAUAGUUUUAUUGUUUUUGAAAUAUUAACAGAUUUUUAUCGUUCGACCAAUUCUCAUAAAGAUUAUUGUGGUUAACUCUAUAUUAAAAACGAAAAUGUAGAUGUAAAAAUUCCUUUCAACUUUCAUCCGCGUGACCACAAAAAAUCAUGACAAUGAAGAUUAACCAGAGAGAUUCAAACAGUAAACUUGACGUGUGACUUAAAGUGAAAUAGAAUGUUGGCCCGAGUGCUCACCAAAAAGAUUGGGAAACGUACGGUUGCUAUAAAAUUUGCAGUACAAUUGUUUUGUUUACUAUGCACGAGGACGUGGAAGAAGAGAAAAAGGCAAUUACUUUCACUUCCACUAUGUCAUACAUGAACUGAAACUUGCCAAGAUAUAUGUUUUUUAUUUACAAGCACCGUGGUCAGAAAGAAACCUUGGCAGUCGUGAAGUGUGAAGUUUCAAAAAAUAGUUAUAAUAUAUAGAGCAAGUUGGAAAUGGGAUUAUGGGAAUGUAGGCUGUUUUCUUUCUCCUUAAAAGUUUAAAAGUGUGUGUCCCCACUACCAGAAGAACAAAUGCCACUUUCAUAGAGUCAGAUCGGAUCCUGCGGCCAGUAAGUUACUGCCCACCUACUUGAUGUUAAUUUAAUUCCUUCUGUCAGACUCAGCUUAACCUUCUUAAUUCUAUAAUACAUUUUCUUUCUUUGUGGAAUUUUUUUCUUGUUUUUAUUAAUUAUGUAUUCUUACUUCUUCGCAGAGAAUGUAGGUUUAUUUAUGUUUUAGUGUUUUGUUCUUUUGUGGAUAAUGUUUGUUUUGGUUCCAUGCAAAAUGGCUUGAAGGAAUUGUAUUCCUUUUGGUUCUUGUCUUAUUUUAGUUGAUUCUUAAAUUGUUUUUUUUUUUUCAAAUAUUUGGUUGGUUUGUUUUGAUUGUUUCAUUGGUUUUGAGUAUUGGUACUGUUUCUUGCUAAGAUUGUUAUACUAGCUUUUGGUUUAUGGGCAUUUGGGUUUUGUCAUUUUUAUUAUUUGAUGUUUAGUUUGUUUUUAGUCUUGUGCUUUUGUUAUGCAUUAAUUUUUAGUCUUAAUCUCCGAAAAUAGAAAAUGUUAGUUCUUACUAUUACUGUUGUGUUGGCUUGAGAGUUAGAAUAGAAAGUUAUAAUAAUUCUUGCUUGAAAAUGUACUGAGAUUGGAAUGAUAGAUAUAUAGCUAUUUGCUGGUAAAUGGGGGCACAUACAAUGGGAUCUGAAGGUGUUGCAGCUCAAGGAGCAAAGUUGCAGUCUUUGACCAGACAAGGCUCAUUGUAUAGCCUCACGCUCAAUGAGAUUCAAACCCAGUUGGGGGAUAUGGGAAAACCACUGGGAAGUAUGAAUCUUGAUGAGCUUCUCAAGAGUGUCGGCACUGCUGAAGCUAAUCCGGUUAGAGAAACCACCAUUGACAAUGUCUGUGGCGUUGCCCCAGGCUCGUUGCUGCAUAGGCAGGGGAGCCUAACAUUGUCCAGGAAUCUUAGCAAGAAGACUGUUGACGAGGUGUGGAAAGAUAUUAAUCAGAAGAGUGAAAAUUAUCAGGAGAGAAAAGCUCAGGAAAGACAGGCUACUCUUGGUGAGAUAACACUCGAGGACUUCUUGAUAAAAGCUGGUGUGGCUGCUGAAUCUAUUGAUACAGUUGAAAAGAAUGCUGGCUAUAUAUGCGAGAUUGAUCACCGGCAAAAUAUUGCUCAAAAUGGUCAAUGGAUGCAGUACCAACUCCCUUCAGCGCAGCCGCAGCCACAUCAGAAUCUUACGGCUGUUCUUGUGCCAAACCACCCUAUGCAGCAAUCUCUUCCUGUCAUUGCUAAUCCAAAUUCAGACGCAGUGUAUCCUGAAAGCCAAGUGACCAUGUCACCAUCCGCUUUGAUAGGUACACUAUCUGAUACACAAGCAACAGGGAGGAAAAGGGUUGCUGCUGGAGAUGUUGCUGAAAAGACUGUGGAAAGGAAGCAGAAAAGAAUGAUUAAAAAUAGGGAGUCUGCAGCCAGAUCACGAGCAAGGAAGCAGGCCUAUACUCAUGAGUUAGAGAUCAAGGUCUCACAACUAGAGGAGGAAAAUGAAAGACUCAGAAAGCACAGGGCAGCGGAGUUCUUACAAUAUGCACCACCUCCGGAGCCCAAACACCAGCUCCGGCGAACAAUCUCAGCCCCUUUCUGACAUAAAACUCUGGAGUAAUGCAUUUUGUUGCAUUGGUGUUAUUCUUAUUUGCCACUGGCUAACCCAACUUGUUUCUCAAAACAAGUUAAAGAAUCACUGCUCAAGCCAACUUGCUCCACCAGAGCUGUCUUUUUGCUAAUUUGGCUGGAAGAAAAGCACUCUGCAGCGGGAGAAGAUUCAGACUGAGAUGGUUUCCCUUUUCAUCAGCUGAUGUUACAGCGUUCCAGGCUUUUAGUGUGCCUCCUUGUUUCUGUUGCUCCUCGAUGAUCUUCCAUUUCAUUUCAGUCUGAUGUUACAGCGUUCCUGGCUGAUGUUUCAUCCAUUUCAUUUCCUUCAGGAAGAAAAGCACUCUGCGGGGGGAGAGGAUUCAGACUGAGACGGUUUCCCUUUUCAUUGGCUGAUGUUAUAGCGUUCCAGGCUUCUAGUGUGCCUCCUUGUUUCUGCUGCUCCUCGAUGAUCUUCUGAAAGUAUUUCCCCUGAGUUUCAAUUCUCAUUUGUAACUGUUUUUGCACCUACAACAAGUGAAACUAAGUUGGUUACUGUUUUGUUUAACAUGAAGCAAGCAAAAUGUCUUGAAAACAA